AUACGUAGGGAGCGAGCGUUGUCCGGAAUUACUGGGUGUAAAGGGAGCGUAGGCGGGAGGGCAAGUCAGAUGUGAAAUAAAUGGGCUCAACCCAUGGGCUGCAUUUGAAACUGCAUUUCUUGAGUGAAGUAGAGGCAAGCGGAAUUCCUGGUGUAGCGGUGACAUGCGUAGAUAUCAGGAGGAACACCGGUGGCGAAGGCGGCUUACUGGGCUUUUACUGACGCUGAGGCUCGAAAGCGUGGGGAGCAAACAGGAUUAGAUACCCUGGUAGUCCACGCUGUAAACGAUGAUUACUAGGUGUGGGGGGACUGACCCCUUCCGUGCCGCAGUUAACACAAUAAGUAAUCCACCUGGGGAGUACGGCCGCAAGGUUGAAACUCAAAUGAAUUGGCGGGG
rnacentral:rRNA from 1 species